AUGAGAAAAACAGUUUAUUUUUAAAUAAUCAUUAAAUAGGUUUCCAGAAACUGUAGGAAACAAAACAGCUUUCCAAGCCAAACUUCAGGUUAUCCUGCAACUAACCUCAAGCACUUCAGAUGUGCUAACAAGACCAUAGGAAGCAGAUAGGUGGAUUGACGAAGGACGAAAGAAGAAAACAUGAUUUUUUUUUCACCAUCGAGCAGACAUGGGAGCUAAUCUUACUAACCAAGAGGGCCUCUUUCACCAAGAUGCUAUUCAAAUCCAUGUCAUCUAUGAAGAGGCCAGGGUCCCCCGAGGUAGGAAAGGACCUCAUCAGGCGUGGCACGGUACCUGGGCAAUGGGUGCAGGAGUCUCCUGAGCAAAGUGAGAGCUAAAGUGCUUAAAGAUUCAAACUGAGAAGUUACAGAAUUGAAAGUAACCUGGGUCAUCCGAUGUGCUCUCCUCCCAUGGGAAACAACGGGGACACAGAAGGGGGAUUCAUACCAGACUGCACGUACUUUGGUGCCGUGAGGGCGUACUAGACCAAAGUCACCUAGUUUGACCCAGCGACAGUUUGGGGCACAAAGGAAGACAUUCUCUGGUUUUAUGUCACGGUGCAC